rnacentral:rRNA from 1 species
AUUGAACGCUGGCGGCAUGCCUUACACAUGCAAGUCGAACGGUAACAGGUCUUCGGAUGCUGACGAGUGGCGAACGGGUGAGUAAUACAUCGGAACGUGCCCGAGAGUGGGGGAUAACGAGGCGAAAGCUUUGCUAAUACCGCAUACGAUCUCAGGAUGAAAGCAGGGGACCGCAAGGCCUUGCGCUCACGGAGCGGCCGAAGGCAGAUUAGGUAGUUGGUGGGAUAAAAGCUUACCAAGCCGACGAUCUGUAGCUGGUCUGAGAGGACGACCAGCCACACUGGGACUGGGACACGGCCCAGACUCCUACGGGAGGCAGCAGUGGGGAAUUUUGGACAAUGGGCGCAAGCCUGAUCCAGCCAUGCCGCGUGCAGGAUGAAGGCCUUCGGGUUGUAAACUGCUUUUGUACGGAGCGAAAAGACUCUGGUUAAUACCUGGGGUCCAUGACGGUACCGUAAGAAUAAGCACCGGCUAACUACGUGCCAGCAGCCGCAGUAACAC